rnacentral:tRNA from 2 species
GGCGCAUUCGUCUAGUGGCCUAGGACGCCGCCCUCUCACGGCGGUAGCAGGGGUUCAAAUCCCCUAUGCGCUACCA